rnacentral:rRNA from 1 species
UGCCCAGUGAUAUAUUAAACGGCCGCGGUAUCCUAACCGUGCAAAGGUAGCGUAAUCACUUGUCCCCUAAAUAGAGACCAGUAUGAACGGCUAAAUGAGGAUUAAACUGUCUCCUACGACUAAUCAGUGAAACUGAUCUCCCAGUCCAAAAGCUGGGAUAAACACAUAAGACGAGAAGACCCUGUGGAGCUUAAAAUUAAAGCCACCCACACCAACCAACCUAAUCAAACAUGGCCUACAAUUUUAAGUUGGGGCGACUUCGGAACCAAACAAAACUUCCGAGCACAAGAGCAUCCCUCAUACCAAGGCCAACAUGCCUAAGCACAACCUGACCCAGUCCCACUGAUCAACGAACCAAGUUACCCCAGGGAUAACAGCGCCAUCUUCUUUAAGAGUCCCUAUCGCCAAGAAGGUUUACGACCUCGAUGUUGGAUCAGGACACCCAAAUGGUGCAGCAGCUAUUAAAGGUUCGUUUGUUCAACGAUUAACAGUCCUACGUGAUC